GACGAACGCUGGCGGCGUGCUUAACACAUGCAAGUCGAACGAUGAAGCUAGAGCUUGCUCUGGGUGAAUUAGUGGCGAACGGGUGAGUAACACGUGAGUAACCUGCCCCGAACUCUGGGAUAACUGCUGGAAACGGUAGCUAAUACUGGAUACGACCUACGAAGGCAUCUUCUGUAGGUGGAAAGAAUUUCGGUUCGGGAUGGACUCGCGGCCUAUCAGCUUGUUGGUGAGGUAAUGGCUCACCAAGGCGACGACGGGUAGCCGGCCUGAGAGGGUGACCGGGCCACACUGGGACUGAGACACGGCCCAGACUCCUACGGGAGGCAGCAGUGGGGAAUAUUGCACAAUGGGCGCAAGCCUGAUGCAGCAACGCCGCGUGAGGGAUGACGGCCUUGGGUU
rnacentral:rRNA from 1 species